rnacentral:rRNA from 1 species
AAGUUUGAUCCUGGCUCAGGAUGAACGCUGGCGGCGUGCUUAACACAUGCAAGUCGAACGAGAAAGCUCCUUCGGGAGUGAGUACAGUGGCGAACGGGUGCGUAACACGUUGGUGACCUGCCUUGAGGAGGGGGACAACCGUGGGAAACCACGGCUAAUACCCCGGAUGUCUAAACUGUUAGAGGGUUUAGACUAAAACUUCGGUGCCUCAAGAGGGGCCUGCGGGCUAUCAGCUUGUUGGUGGGGUAAUGGCCUACCAAGGCUAAGACGGCUAGGGGGCGUGAGAGCGCGACCCCCCACAAUGGAACUGAGACACGGUCCAUACUCCUACGGGAGGCAGCAGUGAGGAAUAUUGCGCAAUGGGGGAAACCCUGACGCAGCAACGCCGCGUGAACGAUGAAGGCCUUCGGGUCGUAAAGUUCUUUUCUAAGGGAAGAUAGUGACGGUACCUUAGGAAUAAGUCCCGGCUAACUACGUGCCAGCAGCCGCGGUAAAACGUAGGGGGCGAGCGUUAUCCGGAUUUAUUKGGGCGUAAAGCGCACGUAGGUGGCGCUGUAAGUUAGACGUGAAAGCUCUCGGCUCAACUGAGAGAGGUCGUUWAAACUGCGUGCUUAGGUUAGAGAGGAGAGCGAUUCCCGUGUAUUGUGAAUG